GAAUGCUACAGAAGAGGUCGUCUCCGUGCUCUAACUUUACCCACAGCCCUUCGAUAGCUUAACGACGUAACAAGUAAGCCAAGAGUUACAAACCUCCAAAAACCCCGUCUUACACUGGUGGCAGCGGGUUUGUUUACUGCUAAUCUUUGCAGAGUUUUGACUUUUGCCGGAGAUUAACGAGCCGACUGCCUGCGCGACGACGGCGCCUUUUUUUCCCUCCUCACCGUGAACUGCUCCUGCUUCAAGCUAACGCCAAGCUAGCGACUCAGUCAGUGUGCUGGUGGAAUGUAACGGACUGUGGUGGACAUUAAGUCUUCAAGAUAACAACAAAGCAACACAACAGUGAGUUACAGAGACUGACAAAGUGGAUAUAACGUUUUCUGCUCUCUUCGUGGGUUUUCCUGCUGCUUCAUGUGGGAGUACUGCUGCUGAACUUUUCUACGGAGGGCGGUUGCGUGGUAAAGUUGUUUAUGUGUCACUGUGGAAACUUCUACUGCAAAGUGGACUCACCUGGCUCACCCAAGCUAAGACUGUUAAGCUGCACAGGCCCAUUCUGAACUUUAACUGUAUUUUUAUGAGCUGUGCCCUUGCCAGUUCAUACAGUGUGCACUGACAAUAAAGAUGGCAAAUCACAAUGACCUUUGGAACGAACUGCCCUUUCCUCUGAGCUGUAGCCACGUUAUGCCACAGUUUUGUAAAGGGGAUUUUCCUCAUGUUUUCAUGGGCGAUGGAAAAGAGGAUUUUUCUAAAUGGUGCAGACGUUUUGAAGUGGCUGUCGACGCUGUGCCUAAUUAUGAUGAAGAUAGUUUUGCUAAACUGCUGCCCACACGCCUUGGUGGUGCUGCUUUUAGUUACUGGGAUGGCCUACCUGAUGCAACUAAAUCUGACUACAACCUUAUGAAAGAAAAACUGAAAGCUGUUUUUGGACAGACUGCUUAUCUUUCUACAUUUCAAAGUUAUGUCAACGCACGCACUCGCUUACCUGGAGAGGCCCUUCCAGUUUUUGCUGCUGAAAUUAGUCAUCUAGUGGAGGAAGCUUUUCCCACGUAUGGACAAAAUGCUAAAGAUGGCGAAAAAAUUCAGACGCUUCAUUGCUGGACUUGAGCCAUAUCUUCAGCUACGUUGUCAUGAGCAGGGUGUCAAAACACUGGAUUCUGCACUUCAGUUUGCACAACAGAUCGAGACAGCUCACCAAGCUAGCAGGGUGUUUUCAUCUCCAAACACUCUGCCAUCUUUUCCUCAGGCUCCUGCCACUUUUACUAUCCCUUCGUUAACACCUACUCACCUUUCUACGUCCUCUACAUCUCUCAGUGUCCACUCUGCCACCUCAGACGAUCUUCGUAAAAUGCAGAAAACACUGGAGACACUCUCAGAAAGAGCUGAACAAUUACAGCUAGAGGUGAAACAUCAGUGACAAGACACACGACGUGGCUCAUCAGACCACAGAUCUCGUCAGCGGAGCCUCACUCCUGAUAGUGCACAAGGCCGCAGCCAUUACUAUUCCUCCGACAGAAACGCCUAUAGAGACUCCUCCUAUGACCGAUAUUCAGCUCGAGAUAGCUCCUACAGACAUCCACGGCAUGAAAGAGACCGCUAAGGCAGAAGGGAUUCCUACACUGGUUCUGGAUCAUCUGAGCGCUACACACACGGUUACAGCCCAUCACCCAGAGACUACACUCUGGCAUGGCAUGGCCGUUCUCCUGAACGCUGUGAGGACAAACAUCCCUCACAUUUUUGUCAUCGCUCCCAUCGCUCUUCAAGUCCUGGACAUGUACGCUUCCACUCUCCUACUCACACAAACAAGUAUCUUCUACAGAAACAGUUCCAGCCAUGUCAGAGAUGGUCAUCACAGCUAAACUAGAUGUGCCACUCAAAGGACUAGUACCUCAUGACUAUGCAGGUGUGUUUGAACCACACUACACUGAUCAUUCAUCUGCUGGUUUUGCAUGGACUGUAACAAAAGUUGAACAAGAUUCCGUCUAUGUGAAAGUAGCAAACCCCUCUAGUGAGGAAGUCAUGUUACAUUGUGGUACUCGGAUAGGAACUUUUCAUGCCACAUCUGGCAACAACAACAACAACGACGAGUACACUGUGAUGGAAAGUUCUGUGUGUAAUGUUAACAUUCAGCAGCCUGUCAUAUCCAAGCAAACUGUACUACCUGAUAUUUCAAACCCAGACCUUACAAGUGUGCAACAAAAGAAACUGAAAGACACUCAUUCUCAGAUGUGUUCAGUCAGCACUCACAUGACUUUGGAAAGACAGACCUGGUCACACACAAAAUCUCAACUAGCUGUGACACUCCCAUCUCACAAAGAGCUUAUCGUACCUCUCCUUCCAUUGAGAGCAGAAAUCCAACGUUCUUGUUUUGCGAGGUCUUCACUGGACAACAUGUGUCAUUUACCUCAAUGACAUAAUUUGCAUGGGACAAGACUUUCUGCAAGGGAGGCAACCAGGAUCAGGUCCCACCUGCUGUGACACAGAAACUCUGUCUGAACGGGAAGAAGACACAAACACAUUUUUAUGUGUCAACACAAAUUCAUCAGCCAAUAUGGCCGCUUUUUGAUGUCACAUCCGGUGCCGCUACGAAUGGACGCCUGCCAGAGUUGCUCCGUGUCUUUGUGUUAUGUUUUAUUAAUUUCUUUAGUUAGAAUUCUCUCUUUUUGAAUAACUUAUUUUAAACAUAGGGUGCUUUCUUGUGGUUUUUUCUUCCGUUGCCAUUCUGCACCUUAUCUGCCAUUAUCUGCCGUUAUCUUUUUACAGUACUCAGCUAUUUUUUAUAUUACUCUGUUAUUUUAUAUUUUGUGUGAUAACUUGAUACUUUCGUUUGCUUCUUUGUACUGCAACCCUGGCACAACAAUUUCCUGUGGGAUCAAUAAAGUUCUUAUCUUAUCUUUUGCAAA